UUCAUCCAGUUACGCAGGUUGAUGAUCUCAGUGUCAUCCUCAACCCCUUAGUCUUCCUUAGCCUACAUAUCCAAUCAGUUGCCAAAUCUUGUCGUUUCUAUCUCUGCUACAUUUUUUUUCCUCUACACUCACAAAGGCCCUGCCUAAUUCACACUCUUGUCACUUCUUUCCUGGACUUCUGCACAGAGAUGACACAGUGGAUAGAACAGGAGGCAAAGAAUCAGGAAGACCUUCGUUCACUUAUGGACUCAAAUACUUAUCUGGAAUCCUUGCUUUCCUUCAGACUCAGCCUACCUCCUGCAGGAACCUGCUCCUGGUCCUUCCUUCUCCUUGACACUAACUUCUAUUGCCUUCAUCUUUAAGGGAUGUGAGAAAACUGGGACAUUGAUGCAUUGUUG